GCCUUAGUAGCGGCGAGUGAAGCGGCAAAAGCUCAAAUUUGAAAUCUGGCACCUUCGGUGUCCGAGUUGUAAUUUAAGCGUUGUAACCUUGGGGUUGGCUCUUGUCUAUGUUUCUUGGAACAGGACGUCACAGAGGGUGAGAAUCCCGUGCGAUGAGAUGCCCAAUCCUAUGUAAGGUGCUUUCGAAGAGUCGAGUUGUUUGGGAAUGCAGCUCUAAGUGGGUGGUAAAUUCCAUCUAAAGCUAAAUAUUGGCGAGAGACCGAUAGCGAACAAGUACAGUGAUGGAAAGAUGAAAAGAACUUUGAAAAGAGAGUGAAAAAGUACGUGAAAUUGUUGAAAGGGAAGGGUUUGAGAUCAGACUCGAUAUUUUGUGAGCCUUGCCUUCGUGGCGGGGUGACCCGCAGCUUAUCGGGCCAGCAUCGGUUUGGGCGGUAGGAUAAUGGCGUAGGAAUGUGACUUUGCUUCUGUGAAUUGUUAUAGCCUGCGUUGAUGCUGCCUGCCUAGACCGAGGACUGCGAUUUUAUCAAGGAUGCUGGCAUAAUGAUCCCAAACCGCCCGUCUUGAAA
rnacentral:rRNA from 1 species